GAAAUGCGAUAAGUAGUGUGAAUUGCAGAAUUCAGUGAAUCAUCGAAUCUUUGAACGCACAUUGCGCCCUUUGGUAUUCCUUAGGGCAUGCCUGUUCGAGCGUCAUCUAAACCUUCAAGCCCUGCUUGGUGUUGGGUGCCUGUCCCGCCUCCGCGCGCGGACUCACCUCAAAUCCAUUGGCGGCCCCCGCGUCGGCCACGAGCGCAGCAGAAACGCGAACUCGUGAGCCCGUCCGGGCGGCUCCCAGAAGCUACACCCACCCAUUUUGACCUCGGAUCAGGUAGGGAUACCCGCUGAACUUAAGC
rnacentral:misc_RNA from 1 species